GUGGGUGAAUGAGGGGCUCUUAGCGCGGCAGGGGAGCAGCGCGGGGCGGAAGGGGUUGCUUAGCACGGUACUUACUAUGAAACUUAAUAAAGAAUAGACUGGAAGAUAUUUCAGAGAUUACUGGUUUUCCACUUUAAAUCUCAAGCUCCCAAAGCGGUCCUGAUGGUCUCGGAGAGGUGCAGCUCGUCUGGAGGGUCUGCUGGCUGUUCUAAGGACGGGAGCGAAUCGGAGCUGACCCAGGAGAGGGCAGCAGUGCACUUGCGCAAAACACUGUCUUGGGUCUUCUGUACCAAGUAUUGAAUCCCUAUAAAAAUCGAUUUUAAAAGCAGAAAUGAACCAAUGAAUCUCUUUGUAAAAGUGUAUUUAUUUGUAUUUAUAGUCCUAAAGUCCAGGGACACUGAUGCUGCGUAUUUUAGCCAGACUUUCCCUCCAAGUAAGAAGGUGAAGCUUCUUUCUCUUGGUAUCAGCUUUGUCUACCUUGCAGGUCAGAGGCAAUAAAAAACA